CUUGGUCAUUUAGAGGAAGUAAAAGUCGUAACAAGGUCUCCGUUGGUGAACCAGCGGAGGGAUCAUUACAGAGUUGCAAAACUCCCACAAACCAUCGCGAAUCUUACCCGUACGGUUGCCUCGGCGCUGGCGGUCCGGAAGGCCCUCGGGCCCCCCGGAUCCUCGGGUCUCCCGCUCGCGGGAGGCUGCCCGCCGGAGUGCCGAAACCAAACUCUUGAUAUUUUAUGUCUCUCUGAGUAAACUUUUAAAUAAGUCAAAACUUUCAACAACGGAUCUCUUGGUUCUGGCAUCGAUGAAGAACGCAGCGAAAUGCGAUAAGUAAUGUGAAUUGCAGAAUUCAGUGAAUCAUCGAAUCUUUGAACGCACAUUGCGCUCGCCAGUAUUCUGGCGAGCAUGCCUGUUCGAGCGUCAUUUCAACCAUCAAGCUCUGCUUGCGUUGGGGAUCCGCGGCUGCCCGCGGUCCCUCAAAAACAGUGGCGGGCUCGCUAGUCACACCGAGCGUAGUAACUCUACAUCGUUCUGGUCGUGCGGCGGGUUCUUGCCGUAAAACCCCCCAAUUUCUAAGGUUGACCUCGGAUCAGGUAGGAAUACCCGCUGAACUUAAGCAUAUCAAUAAGCGGAGGA
rnacentral:rRNA from 1 species